CUCCGUGCCAGCAGCCGCGGUAAGACGGGGGAUGCAAGCGUUAUUCGGAAUUAUUGGGCGUAAAGCGUCUGUAGGUGGUAAGGAAAGUGUAAUGUUAAAGAUCAGGGCUCAACCCUGGGAAAGCAUUGCAAACUAUCUUACUUGAGUUCGGUAGGGGCAGAGAGAAUUCCCAGUGUAGCGGUGAAAUGCGUAGAUAUUGGGAGGAAGACCGGUGGCGAAGGCGUUCUGCUGGGCCGUAACUGACACUCAGAGACGAAAGCUAAGGUAGCAAAUAGGAUUAGAUACCCUAGUAGUCUUAGCUGUAAACGAUGCACACUAUGUUUUGCAAUUUGCAGAGCAAUAGCUAACGCGUUAAGUGUGCCGCCUGGGGAGUACAUUCGCAAGGAUGAAACUCAAAGGAAUUGACGGGGACCCGCACAAGCGGUGGAGCAUGUGGUUUAAUUCGAUGCAACGCGAAGAACCUUACCAAGAAUUGACAUGCUGCGAACGUUUACGAAAGUAAAAAGUCUAUUAACUUAGUUAAUAGCGCAGACACAGGUGGUGCAUGGUUGUCGUCAGCUCGUGCCGUGAGGUGUUAGGUUAAGUCCUGCAACGAGCGCAACCCUUGUCUUUAGUUAUAUUCUAGAGAGACUGCCGGUGAUAAACCGGAGGAAGGUGAGGAUGACGUCAAAUCAGCAUGCCCCUUACAUCUUGGGCGACUCACGUGCUACAAUGGUCGGGACAAAGAGAUGCUACCCUGCGAAGGCAAGCUAACCUCAAAAACCCGGUCUCAGUUCGGAUUGCAGG
rnacentral:rRNA from 1 species